rnacentral:rRNA from 1 species
AAUGAACGCUGGCGGCGUGCUUAACACAUGCAAGUCGAGCGAGGCCCUUCCUUCGGGAAGGUGCCCUAGCGGCGAACGGGUGAGUAACACGUGGGCAACCUGCCCCUAGCACUGGGAUAACUCCGGGAAACCGGGGCUAAUACCGGAUAUCACCUUUGAGGGCAUCCUCUUUGGUUGAAAGGAUUCUGGCUAGGGAUGGGCCCGCGGCCUAUCAGCUUGUUGGUGGGGUAAUGGCCUACCAAGGCGACGACGGGUAGCCGGCCUGAGAGGGCGACCGGCCACACUGGGACUGAGACACGGCCCAGACUCCUACGGGAGGCAGCAGUGGGGAAUAUUGCACAAUGGGCGAAAGCCUGAUGCAGCGACGCCGCGUGAGGGAUGACGGCCU